rnacentral:rRNA from 1 species
UUAAGCGACUAAGCGUACACGGUGGAUGCCCUGGCAGUCAGAGGCGAUGAAGGGCGUGCUAAUCUGCGAUAAGCGCCGGUAAGGUGAUAUGAACCGUUAUAACCGGCGAUACCCGAAUGGGGAAACCCAGUGUGAUUCGUCACACUAUCAUUAACUGAAUCCAUAGGUUAAUGAGGCGAACCGGGGGAACUGAAACAUCUAAGUACCCCGAGGAAAAGAAAUCAACCGAGAUUCCCCCAGUAGCGGCGAGCGAACGGGGAGGAGCCCAGAGCCUGAAUCAGCAUGUGUGUUAGUGGAAGCGUCUGGAAAGGCGCGCGAUACAGGGUGACAGCCCCGUACACAAAAGCGCAUGUGCUGUGAGCUCGAUGAGUAGGGCGGGACACGUGGUAUCCUGUCUGAAUAUGGGGGGACCAUCCUCCAAGGCUAAAUACUCCUGACUGACCGAUAGUGAACCAGUACCGUGAGGGAAAGGCGAAAAGAACCCCGGCGAGGGGAGUGAAAAAGAACCUGAAACCGUGUACGUACAAGCAGUGGGAGCACGCUUAGGCGUGUGACUGCGUACCUUUUGUAUAAUGGGUCAGCGACUUAUAUUCUGUAGCAAGGUUAACCGAAUAGGGGAGCCGGAGGGAAACCGAGUCUUAACCGGGCGUUAAGUUGCAGGGUAUAGACCCGAAACCCGGUGAUCUAGCCAUGGGCAGGUUGAAGGUUGGGUAACACUAACUGGAGGACCGAACCGACUAAUGUUGAAAAAUUAGCGGAUGACCUGUGGCUGGGGGUGAAAGGCCAAUCAAACCGGGAGAUAGCUGGUUCUCCCCGAAAGCUAUUUAGGUAGCGCCUCGUGAAUUCAUCUCCGGGGGUAGAGCACUGUUUCGGCUAGGGGGCCAUCCCGGCUUACCAACCCGAUGCAAACUGCGAAUACCGGAGAAUGUUAUCACGGGAGACACACGGCGGGUGCUAACGUCCGUCGUGAAGAGGGAAACAACCCAGACCGCCAGCUAAGGUCCCAAAGUCAUGGUUAAGUGGGAAACGAUGUGGGAAGGCCCAGACAGCCAGGAUGUUGGCUUAGAAGCAGCCAUCAUUUAAAGAAAGCGUAAUAGCUCACUGGUCGAGUCGGCCUGCGCGGAAGAUGUAACGGGGCUAAACCAUGCACCGAAGCUGCGGCAGCGACGCUUAUGUGUUGUUGGGUAGGGGAGCGUUCUGUAAGCCUGUGAAGGUGUGUCGUGAGGCAUGCUGGAGGUAUCAGAAGUGCGAAUGCUGACAUAAGUAACGAUAAAGCGGGUGAAAAGCCCGCUCGCCGGAAGACCAAGGGUUCCUGUCCAACGUUAAUCGGGGCAGGGUGAGUCGACCCCUAAGGCGAGGCCGAAAGGCGUAGUCGAUGGGAAACGGGUUAAUAUUCCCGUACUUGGUGUUACUGCGAAGGGGGGACGGAGAAGGCUAUGUUGGCCGGGCGACGGUUGUCCCGGUUUAAGCGUGUAGGUGUGUGUUCCAGGUAAAUCCGGUUCACUUUAACACUGAGGCGUGACGACGAGGCACUACGGUGCUGAAGCAACAAAUGCCCUGCUUCCAGGAAAAGCCUCUAAGCAUCAGGUAACAUCAAAUCGUACCCCAAACCGACACAGGUGGUCAGGUAGAGAAUACCAAGGCGCUUGAGAGAACUCGGGUGAAGGAACUAGGCAAAAUGGUGCCGUAACUUCGGGAGAAGGCACGCUGACACGUAGGUGAAGUGAUUUACUCAUGGAGCUGAAGUCAGUCGAAGAUACCAGCUGGCUGCAACUGUUUAUUAAAAACACAGCACUGUGCAAACACGAAAGUGGACGUAUACGGUGUGACGCCUGCCCGGUGCCGGAAGGUUAAUUGAUGGGGUCAGCGCAAGCGAAGCUCCUGAUCGAAGCCCCGGUAAACGGCGGCCGUAACUAUAACGGUCCUAAGGUAGCGAAAUUCCUUGUCGGGUAAGUUCCGACCUGCACGAAUGGCGUAAUGAUGGCCAGGCUGUCUCCACCCGAGACUCAGUGAAAUUGAACUCGCUGUGAAGAUGCAGUGUACCCGCGGCAAGACGGAAAGACCCCGUGAACCUUUACUAUAGCUUGACACUGAACAUUGAGCCUUGAUGUGUAGGAUAGGUGGGAGGCUUUGAAGUGUGGACGCCAGUCUGCAUGGAGCCGACCUUGAAAUACCACCCUUUAAUGUUUGAUGUUCUAACGUGGACCCGUUACCCGGGUUGCGGACAGUGUCUGGUGGGUAGUUUGACUGGGGCGGUCUCCUCCUAAAGAGUAACGGAGGAGCACUAAGGUUGGCUAAUCCUGGUCGGACAUCAGGAGGUUAGUGCAAUGGCAUAAGCCAGCUUGACUGCGAGCGUGACGGCGCGAGCAGGUGCGAAAGCAGGUCAUAGUGAUCCGGUGGUUCUGAAUGGAAGGGCCAUCGCUCAACGGAUAAAAGGUACUCCGGGGAUAACAGGCUGAUACCGCCCAAGAGUUCAUAUCGACGGCGGUGUUUGGCACCUCGAUGUCGGCUCAUCACAUCCUGGGGCUGAAGUAGGUCCCAAGGGUAUGGCUGUUCGCCAUUUAAAGUGGUACGCGAGCUGGGUUUAGAACGUCGUGAGACAGUUCGGUCCCUAUCUGCCGUGGGCGCUGGAGAACUGAGGGGGGCUGCUCCUAGUACGAGAGGACCGGAGUGGACGCAUCACUGGUGUUCGGGUUGUCAUGCCAAUGGCACUGCCCGGUAGCUAAAUGCGGAAGAGAUAAGUGCUGAAAGCAUCUAAGCACGAAACUUGCCCCGAGAUGAGUUCUCCCUGAGACUUAGAGUCUCCUGAAGGAACGUUGAAGACGACGACGUUGAUAGGCCGGGUGUGUAAGCGCAGCGAUGCGUUGAGCUAACCGGUACUAAUGAACCGUGAGGCUUAACCUU